rnacentral:rRNA from 1 species
GAUGAACGCUGGCGGCGUGCCUAAUACAUGCAAGUCGAGCGAACAGACGAGGAGCUUGCUCCUCUGACGUUAGCGGCGGACGGGUGAGUAACACGUGGAUAACCUACCUAUAAGACUGGGAUAACUUCGGGAAACCGGAGCUAAUACCGGAUAAUAUAUUGAACCGCAUGGUUCAAUAGUGAAAGACGGUUUUGCUGUCACUUAUAGAUGGAUCCGCGCCGCAUUAGCUAGUUGGUAAGGUAACGGCUUACCAAGGCGACGAUGCGUAGCCGACCUGAGAGGGUGAUCGGCCACACUGGAACUGAGACACGGUCCAGACCCCUACGGGAGGCAGCAGUAGGGAAUCUUCCGCAAUGGGCGAAAGCUUGACGGAGCAACGCCGCGUGAGUGAUGAAGGUCUUCGGAUCGUAAAACUCUGUUAUUAGGGAAGAACAAAUGUGUAAGUAACUAUGCACGUCUUGACGGUACCUAAUCAGAAAGCCACGGCUAACUACGUG